GAUGAAGUCGACAAUGAGACGGCCAUCGGUGAAUCUCCCAGUAGGAAAGUGGAAGAAGGUUUCUCCAUAUGGCCAAUAAUUUGCUCUAUCCGAAACGCUGAGAUUGAUAUAGUUAUCGUUUCCUGCAUCAAAGAUUGAAUCUCCAAAUAUGAACAUGGCAACAUGUCUUUUUGGCUGUCUAGAGUGAUCACAGAGGGAGAUUUCUGGGAUGAGAAGGCUGGCAAGGAAAUUGAGCAGAAGAAAAUUGAAGGUUAAUUUUGAUGCAGCCAUUACUUAUCUGUUCCCAAUGUCGCUUCGCUCUUCUCUUUCACUUAGUUAUAUGGUGGUCACACAAUAACCUUGAAUGUGGACAACUUAUAAUCUCAAAAAAAAAAAAAAAGGGGGCUUGGAAUGUGGACAGAUGAAAUAAAAGCUUUAUUAAAUUUCUUUUAAUUUUAAUAUAUAAAGAUGCGUUAUUUUAAAUUAUCCAAGAAAAGAUUUGAUCUUAAUCAAAACUCAAACUGAUUUAAAUAAAAAAUAAUUGUUUUUUUUUUUUAAAUGGAUAAGUUAAAGUUUUAAACUACCUCCUCAGACCUCUUAGAUGAUGAAAGAUGAUAAACAACUCUGAUUUGGACACUUCGGACACGUUACAGCAAUUCAGACAGUAAGUCAAAGGCUAGUUAGUUGAAUCUUUAUGAAUUUAUACAACUGAAGGUAUCGAUAUUUAUUUUUUAUAAACUACAAUUAAAAAUAUUUUUUAAAAAUCAUAAAUAUGAAGAGAUGAUGUCAUGGAGGAGUGAUUACAAUUCGCAUCCGCUGGUCAAAGAAUUUGCUUUAAGAAGAAAGUCGAGAAAGUCGUCAAGGAUCCUUAUUCACAUUUAUCACCACGGAGUUCUUUCCUUAGUCUUAUAUAUGGCUGGUAGGCAACCUCUUGGCCCUCCAUUUAAAAUAGCAAAUUCUGUUGCUCCCACAUUGAGCAAUUCCUGUAAAUGCGAUAAGAAAAAAAAUAUUAUAGUCGCUCAAUAUGGAAAUAAUUUACUUAUUAAAUUUUACACACAAUAAUAUAUAAAUAUAUUAAAUCUACUCGUGACCCGAUUCAAGAUUUAAUUUAUGGAUUAAAUAAGUUGGUCUAAAUUAAUCCAAAAUAAUCUAAUUUUAUUUAUAAAAAAUGAUAUUUACUCAAAACAAUUCAAGCAAAACAAGUUUUUUUGAAUUAUUACAACUCAGUUAAGAGUUGCAGCAAUUCUGAUUGAUAAAUAAAGGAAGUAGCUGCAUCUUCCCUUCCAUUUCUUUCAAAUGAUCAUCAACUAGCCAUUCCACCAUCUAAAGUCCUACCAGUCAAAGGUAAUAAACCAUAGGCUAGUUGGUUGAAUCUUUAGACUAGAUAAUGCCAAAUACAUUAUUUAACUGAAUAGAUUGUUAACUGGAUAUCUUUUUGAGUGCAGUGAUGUGUAUUAUAUUAAUAGAUCAGUGUGUGUUUUAUAUAUGUUAUUUUAAAAACAAAAUUCAUGUUUCAAAAGAUUAAAGUCAUGUAUCUCUAAGCUCAGUCACACUAUGAGUUCAAAUACAUGUAGUUCUGGAAAGCUGCGGGCCACACACAACAUCCUCGAGCUCUGUUAUACAUUAAGCCUAAUUACGUUAAUCCAAUUAUUUUUUUCAUCUUAAAGGCGCGAUUCUGAGUGGCUGAAAAGAAGUGAUGUAGAAGAAGUAUCUUUUCACCUAUGGGUAUCGACAAAAUAGAAGAGCUUAUCAUUGACGUAGAUGGUCUCUCAUACCGGAUUAGGAAACUAGAGGGCUGCCAUGUUUUGAUUACUUUCAACACAGUGGAUGAUAUGUUAUUAUCAUUGCUGGGAUUGGUUCGAAUCUCCAAGGCCUUAAUUAGAGCUACUCAGAUCAGGGCUUUGAAAGAUGUUUGCUUAAUCCAUGUAUGGGAUAUAAAUUUCUUUGAGAAAGUUUGUUCUUCUUUUGGCAGACUUAGUCACCUUGACAAAGCCACUGCUGAAAAGCAAAGAUUAAAUUCCAGUGAUGUGUUUUCUCGCAUACUAAAUAUCAAAGUUGAUGAUGGGAUUUUUCCAUAUUCAAGCUUUGAAAGAUCCAAUCAAGAACUCGUGAUGACAAGUUCUGGUUCAGAAGACAUGGGUUUAGUUCAUAAUAAAAACGACGAAGAGGUGGUGCCCUGCUCAUUAAUUUGAUGAGAACCAAGUUAGUAUAUUAAGAAAUGACCACUAUAGAGCAGCAAAGGCCCGGCAGAAGCAAGCAGAAACUCCCCGCAAAGUCACGUCAGAAGAAAUUCCAGAAGCAGGGUCAGUGGAACGAGUCCUUGUGGAAGGAUUUGAAGCAUCGUUAAAUCGGCAACCAGAGGCAGAUUCCAAGCAGCAACUCCAGAUUCCAGGCAGACUACAGACGCGAAUAGAUGCGAACAUCUUUGCUUGUGGUCGGUCAAGGAAGAUGGUAUCUAUUUUAGCAAUGAUUCAGAAAAGUGGAAUCGGGAGUGUCAAGUGGUAAAGGAAGUUUUCUAAUUCAAUAAAUAAUCAUAAAUAAUAAGAAAGAGACAUCGCAAUGAUAUUGUUUGCUUGGCUAAUUUUUAUUUUCCUUUUCUUUCAUGGUUACCACAUUUUUGCUGUGUUAUUUGCCAUCUUUUCCUGUGAAUCUACAGAGAAAUUAAGUGAUAUUUUGGUGCAAGGGCAGGAGGGUAAUAGAGACUAGAGGGCAGUGCCUCUUGCAAAGAUUUCGACUUUUUUUUCUAGAAGGUAAUAGAUGUUGGCCAGCGCUAUGCCAUGGUUCCAUAUUUUUCCAGUAAAAACCAUGUUUAGGUGUCGUCAAUCGUCAUCAUGUUUCAUUAAACACCUUAAGUAGCUUAAGAUAAACAAAUUAACAAGGAGGAGUGUGUGUGUGUGUGUGUGUGUGUGUGAAGCUAAGAAGAAAGAAUGGGAAGAGAGACUAGGUUUAUUUCCAAGGCUUUGAGAUAGAGAGCAUAUAUUUAAUACAUUUAAGUUACAAAUUAAGUAACAAAAGGAAAAUUACUCAUCUUGGAGAACUUCAUACUCUUCUGAUAAAAUGAUGGGUGUAGAUUCAAGAUCAAAUAGCUGUCUUAAGUUUUAUGGGGCUGCGAUACUUGGUUUGCAUCCAUCGAAGAAUAUAUAUAGAAUACAUUUAAGGAAAAUUAUUCAUCGUGGGGAACUUCAUAUUCUUCUGAUGAAAUGAUGGGUGUGGAUUCGAGAUCAAAUAGCUGUCUUAAGUUAUAUGGUGCUGCGAUACUUGGUUUGCCAUUCCAAAACAGAUCAGCUAGAAUCCGAUAACCAUUCUCAGUAGGAUGCCAUCCAUCGAAGAACAGGUAUUCACUUGGAUUUUUGCAUAGUUUAUAUGGCUUUAUUCCACAAUGUGCUGCGUUAUACAUUCCAUGGCCACAACAAGAAUAUCUUGAUUCCUUGAAGCCUUCCCGACACGAACAGCAAAGACAGAUCGAAAACAAAAAGGAAACACAUACAGUUGGUAAAAUCUAGCAAAAACGAGUGAUUAGGAAGAGCAUUGAUGGGCUUAUUAACAUGUUAAUAUGCCAAACAAUCUAUCGGCACUCGUACAAUCAAAUAAAUCAAUUUUAACAUAUAUCUUGAAGCGGUAAACACCAAGCUAUUAACUUGUCAACUGCUUACAUCUACAAUCUAUGUAUGAUAAUUGUUGUACAGCCCACUUAAACCCCAUUUUAGAGUUAGAAAAACCCUUUGUUUCAAUUUUUUAUAAAAAUUGAAUUUUAAAAUCAAGAUCAACCUAUCAAUCUUAGGAUUAAAUCACCUAACCCAUGAUUUAAGCUUUAAAUCAAGUCUAAGUCGGGUUGAGUCAUUUAAGUAUGCUUAAAAGAGAGUAAUCAAUGUAAAUUUAUUAAUGUGUCUCAUGAUGUGGUCAUUACAAAAUGAUAAAGAGUGGAAAACAAUGCGUGGCUUGCUUUGCUUCCUCACUAAAACCCUAAUAUUAUCAAAAUCUAUGUACUUACCGUAAUCCUUUGGGUGCUUUAUCAUAUCCAAAAGGAUGGUAUAGAAGUCUACAAUUGAGUAUUUGAAUCCUGAUAGUUUGCUUUCCAAUCCCUUGAUGGCUUUAGAUGCAGCACUGUUAUGCUUCUUAAUCAUCUCCAUUGAUACUUCAUCACAUUCAUCACCACGGAGUUCUUUGCUUUGUCUUGCGGCUGGUUGGCAACCUCUUGGCCCUACGUUUAAAAUAGCAAAUUUCCUUGCUCCUAAAUUGUACAAUUCCUGCAAAUGCCGACAAUGAAAAAAGAAAAAGAAUGCGAAGAAGCUCAAUAUGUAAAUAAUUACUUGCUAAGUUUUACACACAAUACACUUGUAUGAAUAAAGAAAUAUUUUCAGUAUUUUAUUGAUUUAUGUAUACAAGUACAAGCAAAGUCCUGGGUACAGGAUAAAUCUAAAAUGAUUUGUUUUAAGAAUUUCCUUUUAUAUAUAUAUAAAAGAAAACUAAAACAGCAUUCAUUUUAAAAAAAGUCAAAUGAAAUUUUGAUCGAGUUAUAAUAAGAUUAUAGGUUGAUCUGCCGCGUUAUCUAGGCUCGACGAGGUUAAUUUCCACAAACUUGGUUCUAGUUCUAAGUCAAUUACUGGAUUAGAGGUUGAUCAAUUAAUUAGUAAGUACCCUUUAUACAAGCACGUACACGCUACUAUUUAUAAGAAACUUUAUUGAUAUUACCUUUACAAAAGCUGUCAAGUUACCCACCAUAUUGUUCACAAAUUCAUCUCGCUCCAGCUGAGUAGCAUUAGGGUAAUUAUCAACAAAAUAAGAAUAAUCAUUGGCUCCAACACAAGUCGCAUAGACUGCUUGUCUCAGCAGUUUCUUUGCCUCUUUGUCCCCAAUCUGCUCCUCCAUCGAAAUGGCCACGUUCUUGAAGUUGCUAAGUUGCAUGCGAAGACUAAUCUGGAAAAAUAAGGCAAUGGUAAGACUUUGAAGCACAAAACGUACGUAACCUUUCAGCUAUUUCUACCGGUCCCGUGAAGUGCAAACUGGGACUAUCACAUACCACUUCAGGAUUAGCUACAGGAAAGACACCAGCUCCAGCACUUGCGAAAUUUACUCCAUUAGUGAAAUUAAUACCAGGUUGUAAGAAUGGGGGGACGAACGGUAGACCGAUCUUUGUUGCUGCACAUGUAAGCAUCCAUUAGAAGAAGAAGAAAAUCUUAAAUUAACCCAAAAAACUUAACAACAAUUUCGAAACAUGAUUCAUACUAUGUUUUCCAAUACUUACCGAUGAAGUCGACAAUGAGACGGCCAUCGGUGAAUCUCCCAGUAGGAUAGUGGAAGAAAGUUUCUCCAUAUGGCCAAUAAUUUGCUCUAUACGAAACGCUGAUAUUAUUGAUAUAGUUAUUGUUUCCUGCAUCAAAGAUUGAAUCUCCAAAUAAGAACAUGACAACAUCUCUUUUUGGCUGUCUAGAGUGAUCACAUAGGGAGAUUUCUGGGAUGAGAAGGCUGGCAAGGAAAUUGAGCAGAAGAAAAUUGAAGGUUAAUUUUGAUGCAGCCAUUGCUUAUUUGUUCCCAAUAUCUCUUCGCUCUUCUGUUCACUUGCUUAUAGUUAAAGGUUUUUAUUUUUCAGGAUAAGUUAAAGUCUUAAACUACCUCCUCAGAGACCUUUCAGAUGGUGAAAUAUGAUAAACAACUCUGGUUUGGACACUUUGACACGUUACAAUAAUUUAGACAAUAAGUCAAAG
rnacentral:lncRNA from 1 species